AUUUCAGAACUAUAUGUUCCAAACUGAACAGAAAAAAGGUUUCGACAAAGAUUGUAUUAGAUUACAGUGCAGUAAAUUUGAAACCAUUAUCAAUUAUUCUAGCGCAACUUUCUCAUAACCCAAAUUGCGUAUAUAGAUGGACGCCAAUUUUAAAAAAAAUGCAAGUUAUUUUCACGAAAAUGCGAGGGCAUCUUCAUGAGUUUGAUCGAGAUCGUAUACAGAACCCCCUUUUUGUUAUCCUUUUCGCAUUAGUUUAACCCAGCAUACAACUCAUAAAGAGAGCAAUAUGAUUCAUGGUUAAGAGGCAAUCAAAAGGACGCCUGGAAGGAAA